rnacentral:snoRNA from 1 species
GGUCCGAUGCCACGUCGACGGUAGCAAAAAUAAGCAAUGACCGACGAUGCUAUGAUUGGACCAAUAACAAGUUUUUAUUAAUAUUUCGCAUUUUGAUAGGAAUCUGUGGUGGAUUUUUCAUUCCUCACACGGAGCCGUUUUGUGCGAUUACAUAC